rnacentral:rRNA from 1 species
UCGGAUCGCAGUCUGCAACUCGACUGCGUGAAGGUGGAGUCGCUAGUAAUCGCGGAUCAGCAACGCCGCGGUGAAUGCGUUCCCGGGCCUUGUACACACCGCCCGUCAAGUCAUGAAAGUGGGCAGCACCCGAAGACGGUGGCCUAACCCUUGUGGGGGGAGCCGUCUAAGGUGAGGCUCGUGAUUGGGACUAAGUCGUAACAAGGUAUC